rnacentral:lncRNA from 1 species
UAACUUUCCCCACCUGAUUCCAAUUUCCCCUUCCACUCCUUGUUCAUACCUGAAAUUAUCAGUUCCUUUAAAGAGAUUAUAUACUUCAGCCCUUCCGGUAUCUCCUUCAACUUGCCACAAAAUCCUAUAGACAAAGUACGAAGACAUGACAUCGACCCUUCUUCGAUUUCCCACUCUUCCAACUCUUUUAGAACCACUAAAUCUAGCUUAUGUAAUUGAGGGAAUCCACCUUUUGAACACACCAUUUUCCUCCCUGCGAAAGCAUCAAAGCAUAAUAUAACAGACUUUAAAUGAAGCAACUUUUCCAGAAUCGGGAGUGGGUCCUCCUCCAUUCUGCAUUCACCUAGAGAUAUGUGUGCAAGGUUUGGAGGGAAUCGAGAGUGCUCAGGAAGCCUUGGCAUAUGCAUCGACAUCACCAAAUCCCUUAGAUGAAUGAAAUUCCAAAUGAAAUCCACAUCAGGAGCCACAUCGGAUUCGCUCAAGGAGAUCAAGCUAAGCUUAUCCAGGUUUCUUAAUUCACGGAGAGAUGACGCUAGAAUUUCACAAGUAUACUUGCCUUCGAGAACUACUUCGAGAGUCCUGAGCCUAGUCAUGCCGCAGAGGUCUAUGAUGCUACCACUUUUCGAUCGGAAACACCCCAAAAGCUCCAGGUUCACUAGCUUACCCAAUUCCAGCUUUGUUUUAUUUUUCAUAUAAAAGGGUAGGAACAGGAACCUCAACUCGACCAUCUCUUUAAAGAUAUUUGGCACGUAAACAUACCCACUGGAGGAUAAUCUCAAAUAGAGUAGAAGCUUUAGAUUCCGUAGAGAAGAUGGUAGAUGAGAUCCCGAAGUCACGUUUAAGCUCAAAAAUCUCAAAUGAAUAUUGUCAUAUACUCUUUUCCAGUCUUCAACCGUAUACUUCUUGUUAGCUAACAAGCCUCCCAGCACUUUAACAGCUAACGGUAGUCCUCCACAAUAUUUAACCAUUUUUUUACCCAUAGCUUCCAGUUCUUUAUCAACAAUAAAUUCUGCAAAAAAAAAAAAGCAUAUAUUAUAAGAUAAUAGCCAUGAACCAUAUAUGUACAUCCCUGAACUACUCCACAAGAUUUUUGAUAAUAGGAGGUAAGAGAUAUCACAUUAUGUGUCGUAACGGAUUAAUAAGAUUCUUAUAUAUAAACGUACCAGUUUUGUCUCUUCUCGAUAAGGCUAUCUGCUCACAUAGCUCCCAACUUUCCUCGGGAGUAAGGAUUGUUGGUGUAAAGGCAAAACAUGUUGGGUCUGCAUGUAAACCAACACCUUCAUCGCGAGAAGUAAGAAUCAUUUUCCAACCUGCAAAUUGUAUUUAUAUUUUAUGUCAGGGAUUAAAAACGCAUUUAUGAAAUUGCUAAGGGAAGCACUCAAGUAAUGUAUGUACAAAUUAAAGAGCUCGCCUCUUUCUUGGGGGAAAGCGUCUUUUACUCUAUCCCAGUCUUCUUUUUUCCAUACAUCAUCUAAGACAAUUAAAUGUCUAGGUGUUCGUGUUCCCAACAAUAGAAAGAGCUUAGCCUGGAGCUCAUUCUCAUCCAUCUGUUUGACGUCCUCAUCAAUUGUGAUAAGAUAUUUCAAGAUCUUUUGCCAAAUAUCCUUCCGCUGAAACUCUUUUGAAACACAUACCCAUGCGAAUCCAUCAAAAUGACGUCGAACAAUGUCAUGAUGAAAAACUUGUCUCGCCAGCGUGGUUUUACCAAUACCACCCAUCCCUGAUAUGGAAACCACUUGAAUGUUAUCUUUUUUCACCAAAUGACCAACCAAUUCUUCAACACUCUCUUCCACCCCAACAAGGCCCUUUUCAGAACUCUUCGGAAAUGUUUGUCGGAUCUCCCUUUGCACCCUUUGUCUCUCUUUUAGAGACAGUGAACGGCCAUCGCUCAUGAUUUCUUUUAUUCCAAAAUUCUGCAUCUCCGCAACAACCUCAGACAGUCUCUUAGUUAUGCCUUCAAUGCCUAUAGAAACAUUUCGGCGAUUCACUAAGAAACAAGAAAGUCUUUUCAGACGCCUCUUGAUCCCUUUUUCGCCACCACUAGAUUCUUUCAAAACAAAGGAUUCGAUUAUAUCUUCAGCAUCAUAAACAAUGUCUUUGACAUCUUCCAAGAAGUUUCUCACUACUUCAUUCUCAUGUUUCUUGGCAUCUGCAUCUUUCAACAAUGACUGUAACUUUCUCAUCUGACGUUCUAGAUCAGCAACAUGCUCAUGCACUCCCUGUAAUCGCUCAGAUUCUCGACUCAGGAGGUCCCAGAGUUUCUCCACUCCAAACGCCACAACUCCCUCAGCCAGCACUGACACAACUAUCUCAGCCAUCACUGAUUUCCUGUUCCACCGUCAACACAUAAGCCAACAAAAUAAUACAAAAUCUGUCAGAGGAACUUUUUUUCUUAACUUAUUUUUAAUGAAAUAAUUUUAUUUUAUUUUUAAAUCUGAUUCGACCAUAAUAGAGGGCAAAAGACAGAUCGAAGCAAGUUAAGUCGACAAAUAUGAUGUAGAAAAACGUGAUAUACCUUUUAUGAAACAGAUCUGCAACUCGGUUCUAUCUGAUUUACCUUUCAGCGACGUUCUUUGGAAGAAGAGAUAUGAGUUGCAAUGAAAGAGCAAGUCAACUUUUGCAGUCGCUUCUAUCUGUAAUAAUGCAUGUGGAAGCUGAGUGAAGCAGGAUUUUGUGGCGUGUUGGAGAAAUUGAGUCAAUCCCAAGUAAGAGCUAUUGUGACACAAAGAACAUGUGUUUUAACUUGACAGGAAGGAUGACAGGUGAAAUCUGAUAGAAAAAAUCAGUGUCGUAGAAAUCAAAUGGUUUCUGGUUCUAAAGAUUUAAAGGACCUAAAUCUAAAGAAGAUGGAUAAGCUGGGUAUAGGGAAGCUCACACGUGGAUACUCAAGGUUUAAUGUCUUCAUAGGAGGUCUCGUAUCAGUAUUUAUGUGUCUGCCUUUUGUAAGUUGUGGAAUUUCUGUCUACAAUAGAGGUGAGACUAAUGCAGUUGAGAAUGGUGAAGACAUGGUUGAUAGCAGGAGGCAUGAGUUCUGAUAUGGUCAAGCCAGAAAAAAUAUAUUGUUGUGUAUUGAGUUGAGUCUAAGGCUAUAAGAGUUUAACAGCUUGUCAUAAGUUGAUAUGACUUAGACAUUUCAGUGUCUGAUCACUUUGGUGGAUCAAUGCCAAAAGUGGAAGCUUCGUUCAGAUUAGAGUUAUUGUGAUCUUCUUGUACAAAGAACUAGUUUGAAGGACUGUGGUAUAAAAGUUUGUGUCCAGUCUCUGACAAAAUUUCAAGGAAUGAACCAUGUAUAUACAGUCAAAGUCUUAAGACUGAUAGAAGAUCCACGUAAAGAGAAGUGAAGCUGAGGUUAAAGUCGCGUGAGUGUGUCUCUUAAAUGGUUAUUGUUCCAGGUGGAGCAAUUGGUAUUACAGAGAGCGAAAUACAUUCAGAAUGGGUUUGUUUCCGAGGUGGAACUAUAUUUUCAGAAGGAGUCUUGCCUUCUCAGAACGUUGAACAUCAAAGGAGGAUCUGAUGGAGUUUAAGAGGCUGCAUAUGUUUGAGUAUGUGAAGUUUUCUCAGGGUUAUCUUGCAGUGGGCUGAGCCUUGGUUGUCUGUCCAAAGUCUUCGUGAUAUUGGGUGUCAUGCAGCAUGUCCUGUUGGUAUAAACAGCAGUGCACAGAGGUUCAUGUUGGCUGUAUUAGAAGAAAAGUCAAAAAAAAUUUCUUCUGGCCUGGAGUGAAGAUUGAUGAAGAAUCAGUCGGAGUUUUGCAAAAAUCAGAAUAUGAUCAGGAAGUCUCUAAAUUUAAUGGAAGUAAGAUCAGUGAAACACAGAAGGCUGCAUAAAGUUGUCUAUUUGCAGCAGGAGGAAGUCAGCAGUAAUCUUCUCAGAAGAAAUACACUUACAGGUUGAUCAAGUGUGGAAGCUCAAUGUAAAGGAUGCUAGAGGAAAGAGUUGGUUCAAGUCUGCGAAAAGCAGGAGGCAAAGAAGCAAAGAUUUUGAUGGAUUAUGCACACUGUUGAAUGUGUUGCAGGUCUGUUACUGUUGAAGACACACAUCAUGAGCUCGAGUUUGAUGUGGAAGAAGCUGUAGAGAAUAUCUCAGGAGCAUCACAUGUUCUGUUGAUGAGAUAUAUGGUUAAAACGUACAAGGGGUGAACUACAAGCUACUGGUACUGGUCUGUUUGCUCAGGGAAUUGGACAAGGAACUUAUAUCGAAGGUAUUCACAACUAGGUGGAGCUGUGAGGCGUGAUCUGUUGACAUCCAACAGCGGUACAAGUUGGUUUUAAGGCUUAGUUGGCUAGACAGAUGGAUGUAAUUACAAAAAUGCAUUGCUUACUAACCUAAAGGUUUUGUUGAGAUUGUUUUGCAGGUUUGAAUCGAAGAUUGGUUCAUGAUGGGAACAUGUAUGUUUCUGGUUUUUGCAUAUGAUUCAUGAGUAAUUUGAUUUUAAACUCAGUGCACGAGGUGAAUCAAAUGAGUCGACAAGAGGAAUCAGGUUUGCAUAGAUAUAAAGGCUAUAUAUAAUUGCUGAAACAGUUUUAUGGUGUUUGAUAGAAACCAUGAUGAAAUCUGUGUGAUUGUUGAACUCCUAAGUGCUAGCUUUUAGAGUUGUCUCUUGGUUUAACAAUUUCUAAAUUCAUUAGUCUUGUUAAUGAGAUAUUCUUGAAUGGUUUCUCAGGUAUAUCAAAGAUCGAUAGGGGAUCAAUGGAGAGUAUUAGCUUAACACCAGUUUGUGUGAAAGCUGGUUAUGAUACUCAAAGGGGCAUUAGAAUGCCAAGAGUCUUCUAGAAGCAGUGUGGUUUACACAGCUGAAGUAUCCUUAGCAUUAUGUCUGGUUCAUUGAUUAUUAAUUAAGAUGAUUAAAUUUGUUUAAGUGGUUGCUGUACAUAAGGUUUCUUAUGCAGGUCACUGGAGAUGGAUAUUUACCAAGUUUGGAGCUGGAACUUCACAGUUCUAAGGCAGUUCACAGUGAAAAAGAGAGAUGUGAGAGACGGCAUUCGCUUAAGUAUCUUGGGUUCUCUUGGGUUUUUAUUCUCUUAACUUCUUCUUGUAAGGUUGAUUGGAUUGUAACCAACGGUGAUUGAGCUCCGUGUACAGCCACGAUGCGGUCGAUCAGAUUAAAAAGGUCAACUCGUUUGUGUUCUUUGAUAGAAGCUAAGUCAUUGAUUCUUGAAGUGAUCGGAUUCUUUGAAGCUCUUGUGUUCUUCUUGUAAGGUUGAUCGGAUUGUAACCAACGGUGAUUGAGCUCCGUGUACAGCCACACCGCGGUCGAUCAGAUUAAAAAGGUCAACUCGUUUGUGUUCUUUGAUAGAAGCUAAGUCAUGGAUUAUUGAAGUCAUGGAUUCUUGAAGUGAUCGGAUUCUUUGAAGCUCUUGUGUUCUUCUUGUAAGGUUGAUCGGAUUGUAACCAACGGUGAUUGAGCUCCGUGUACAGCCACACUGUGGUCGAUCAGAUUAAAAAGGUCAACUCGUUUGUGUUCUUGAUAGAAGCUAAGUCAUGGAUUCUUGAAGUCAUGGAUUCUUGAAGUGAUCGGAUUCUUUGAAGCUCUUGUGUUCUUCUUGUAAGGUUGAUCGGAUUGUAACCAACAGUGAUUGAGCUCCAUGUACAGCCACACCGCGGUCGAUCAGAUUAAAAAGGCCAACUCGUUUGUGUUCUUUGAUAGAAGCUAAGUCAUGGAUUCUUGAAGUCAUGGAUUCUUGAAGUGAUCGGAUUCUUUGAAGCUCUUGUGUUCUUCUUGUAAGGUUGAUCGGAUUGUAACCAACGGUGAUUGAGCUCCGUGUACAGCCACGCCACGGUCGAUCAGAAUAAAAAGGUCAACUCGUUUGUGUUCUUUGAUAGAAGCUAAGACAUGAAUUCUUGAAAGUCAUGGAUUCUUGAAGUGAUCGGAUUCUUUGAAGAUCUUGUGUUCUUCUUGUAAGGUUAAUCGGAUUGUAACCAACGGUGAUUGAGCUCCAUGUACAGCCACGCUGCGGUCGAUCAGAUUAAAAAGGCCAACUCGUUUGUGUUCUUUGAUAGAAGCUAAGUCAUGGAUUCUUGAAGUCAUGGAUUCUUGAAGUGAUCAGAUUCUUUGAAGCUCUUGUGUUCUUUGUUGGGGUCAAAAACGGUUACGACAAAUUUAAACAUUCAAAACGUUCGAGGAAGAAAAUAAGAGUUUCUCCGAAGAGUACUUUUCGAAAUAGAUUCUUCCUUACGAAAAAACUUGGCGGAAGAAAGAAUCGAGACGUCCGACGAAAGCUCGAAACAGGUCGUUACGUAGCGACCGAGCGAUCGUCCCGCUCGGUCGCUACGUAGCGACCGAGCUCAGCCAAGCUCGGUCGCUACGUAGCGACCGAGCGAUCGUCCCGCUCGGUCGCUACGUAGCGACCGAGCUCGAGCCAAAGCUCGGUCGCUACGUAGCGACCGAGCGAUCGUCCCGCUCGGUCGCUACGUAGCGACCGAGCUCAGCCAAGCUCGGUCGCUACGUAGCGACCGAGCGAUCGUCCCGCUCGGUCGCUACGUAGCGACCGAGCUCGAGCCAAAGCUCGGUUGCUACGUAGCGACCGAGCUCAGCCAAGCUCGGUCGCUACGUAGCGACCGAGCUCAAGCCGAAGCUCGGUCGCUACGUAGCGACCGAGCACUCGUUCCGCUCGGUCGCUACAUAGCGACCGGGCUCGAGCCAAAGAUCGGUCGCUGUAUAGCGAUUGAACCUUUCCGAACAUUGAUACGACACCAGUCCUUGCAUUCUCGUCAAACCUUCAAUGCUAUCUCCCGAAGACCGUAGCAAGCUCAGUUUAUGUUUCCCGCUACUCUAAUUCAUCGAUCAAACUUCGCGGAUUAGAAACCGCGGAAAACUCGUAGUAAACGUGUCGAGUCGGAAGACGGCCCAAAGGGACCUAAAACACGACUCGAGGCCCAUCCUACGAUUUUUCCUAACCAAAAGCCCGUGAACCACAGCAUGGUUCGCGCUUGGCCCGCGAGGAAGGAUAAAUGUCAAGUUUCCGCGGAUAAAUACGGAAGUUUUGAAGAUAAUUGUGAAGAUCGGGAAAAAUGGAAUAUCUCCAUUUUUAUGCUAUGACGGCUUAAGGGCAGAAGAGUAAAAGCGUAAACCGACCUUGGAGCUAGUAUAUAAGGAGUCCUAGGCGAGGAGCAGAGAAGAGACUUUUUCAGAGCAAACUUAGCACUUAGAGCGAUUUAGGCAACUUUCCGUUUUUGUUAUUUCGAGCUGCGACUCAAUUAGGUUUAGCCGUCUUAGGGUUGCUAGAACUAGGAAUCUCGCCGACAGCUCUCGAGCCCAGGCUUAUACCUUGUUGUAACGCUCAUACGCAGAUUCGGAAUAAGAUCUACUUUGCUCUCUUUUCGAUUUCUUAUUUUUAUCGUUGUUAUUUUCGUGUUCUGAUUGCUUGACGUGUGGUAAUUAACAGAUAUCCGGGUCCUCUGGGAAACUAGGGUUUUCUUAGUUUCCUUAUUUAAACGGAAAUCGACAGUGCGAAUUUCGGUUCCCACAGUUUGGCGCUAGAAGGAGGGGGACUUACGGAUCAAUCUAACUCGCAAAAACCACUCAACGAUCAGGACAGACAUGCGAGGUUCGACGUGCGCGAAUGUCAUCUCAUUCAGGGGGGGAGAAACGGUCGAUCGAGCCAAACCUCGGAACGAUCUCCUUGUUAUCGAGUUGACGAUUCGAGAUAUCGACGUCGCUAGAGUACUAAUCGAUACCGGAAGCUCGGCCGAUAUCAUCUUCAAAGACACUCUUGAAAAGAUGGGGAUCAGUCAAUCCGAGAUCGCAAAAUGCCCAAGCCCACUGCUAGGGCUUUCGGGGGAAACGACCAUGGCCUACGGAUCGAUUAGACUCGCUGUCAAAGCCGGAACCGUGACAAACAUCACAGAGUUUCUAGUCGUCGACCGCCCCGCAUCUUACAACGUUAUCAUGGGGACGCCAUGGCUGAACACCAUGCGCGCAAUCCCAUCAACCUACCAUCUUUGCCUCAAGUUCCCGACCCCUAACGGAGUCGAGGUAAUCUGGGGAAAUCCAAGAGUUUCUCAGGUCUGUUUCGCCGCGGAACUAAAACGAAAGAGACCGAUCCUCGAAAUUACUCCUAAGAAAGCGGAGAAAGAGACCUCCAGCAAAGAUACGCGAAGUCAGGAUUCAGCGGAAUUCUUCUGGCAAUCUCGUAUCUUCGCAGCUCUAGAUGAAAAACGCGAGCCAACUUGUGAACCCGUGGUAACGAUCUGUCUCGACGAAGCCUUCCCAGAACGCUGCGUCGAGAUCGGAGCCAAUCUCCACGAGCCUUUAAAGACAGAACUCAUAACCUGUCUAAAAAGAACCUUAAUACUUUCGCGUGGGCUGCGGAAGAUAUGCCAGGAAUCGACAUUAACAUAACAUGUCACGAGCUGAACAUCGACCCAACAUUCAAACCCGUCAAACAGAAAAGACGGAAGCUGGGACCCGAACGUGCUACCGCAGUAAACGAUGAGGUCGAAAAACUGCUUAAAGUUGGGUCGAUAACGGAAGUAAGAUACCCCGACUGGCUCGCCAACCCCGUAGUAGUCAAAAAGAAAAACGGGAAGUGGCGAGUUUGCGUAGAUUUUACCGACCUAAACAAGGCAUGUCCAAAGGAUAGCUUCCCUCUACCACAUAUCGAUCGAUUGGUAGAAGCAACGGCGGGCAACGAACUCCUAUCCUUCAUGGACGCUUUCUCAGGCUAUAAUCAAAUUAGGAUGAAUCCCGACGAUCGUGAGAAGACUGCGUUCAUUACCGAUCGCGGAACCUAUUGCUAUGAGGUAAUGCCCUUCGGCCUCAAAAACGCUGGAGCAACUUACCAACGACUCGUGAACCGAAUGUUCUCCAAACAACUCGGAAAAACGAUGGAAGUUUAUAUCGACGACAUGCUUGUCAAAUCCCUCAAAGCAAGGGAUCACGUGUCACAUCUCGAAGAAUGCUUCGCACAACUAAACUCCCAUAACAUGAAGCUCAACCCGACGAAAUGCAGAUUCGCCGUGGCAUCAGGAGAAUUCCUCGGCUACUUGGUCACCAACCGCGGUAUCGAAGCAAAUCCAAAACAGAUCAACGCUCUAAUCGAGAUGGCUUCGCCGAAGAAUAAACGGGAAGUCCAAAGACUGACCGGCAGAAUCGCAGCACUUAACCGAUUUAUCUCACGAUCAACAGAUAAGUGCCUGCCCUUCUACGACGUCCUGCGAGGAAAUAAAAAAUUCGAAUGGACGGAAGAGUGCGAAAACGCCUUCCAACAGCUGAAGCGUUAUUUAGCUACUCCUCCAGUCCUCGCAAAACCCGUGGAAGGAGAGCCUUUGUUCUUGUACAUCGCGGUAUCGGCAACAGCCGUAAGCGGAGUCCUGAUCAGGGAAGAACGCGGGGAGCAGAAACCUAUUUUUUACAUAAGCAAAACUUGCUGGAUGCCGAAUCUAGGUAUCCGUUGAUGGAAAAAUUGGCAUGCGCGGUCGUAACAUCGGCCCGAAAACUACGACCAUAUUUCCAAUCCCACACGAUUGUUAUCCUCACGACUUUUCCCUUACGGACAAUUUUGCAUAGCCCAAGUCAAUCAGGCCGAUUGGCGAAGUGGGCGGUCGAGUUGAGCGAGUAUGACAUCGAAUACCGACCAAGGACGAGCGCAAAAUCACAGGUGCUCGCGGACUUUUUGGUCGAACUUCCAACGGGAGCAAUAACCAACGAGGAACCAAAUUCCACCUGGCUCCUCCACGUCGACGGAUCUUCAUCCAAGCAAGGAUCGGGUAUCGGGAUCCGUCUCACAUCUCCAACAAGCGAGAUCCUGGAACAAUCGUUCAGACUGGAAUUCCAUGCCUCAAACAACGAGGCCGAAUACGAAGCAUUGAUCGCAGGUCUACGUUUGGCUCGCGGCUUAAAAAUACGCAAUCUCCACGCUUACUGCGACUCCCAGUUAGUGGCCAGUCAAUUCAGCGGAGAAUAUGAAGCCAGAGACGAACGGAUGGACGCGUACCUCAAACUGGUCCAAGGUCUAGCUCAAGACUUCGACUGUUUCGCCCUUACCCGGAUCCCCCGUUCCGAGAAUGUCCAGGCGGACGCCCUCGCGGCCUUAGCAUCAAGUUCCGAUCCAGGACUCAAAAGGGUAAUUCCGGUCGAGUUCAUCGAACAUCCGAGUAUCGGACCCCCAGUCAUUGUCAAUCUCAUAGAGGGUCAAGACGACGAGGAAGAAGAGAUUACGAUACCACCACCAUCGGAGCAAUCCGAUUACGGUUGUGAUACCCCAUGGCUUCAGACGAUUCGAGACUACAUUAUCGACGGGCAACUGCCCGCCGAAAAAUGGUCAGCUCGCAAGAUCCGAACACAGGCCGCACGCUACGUAACAGUGGACGGCGAAAUCUACAAGUGGAGAUUCUCCGGACCGCUCCUGACGUGCCUGGAAGGAGAAAAGGCGAGGAAAGUAAUGGAGGAAAUACAUUCCGGCUCAUGCGGCAACCAUUCCGGCGGAAGAUCACUAGCCGUGAAAAUCAAACGCCACGGGUACUAUUGGCCAACAAUGAUCGGAGAUUGCGAAAAAUUCGCACGAAAAUGCGAAAAAUGCCAAAGGCAUGCGCCAACUAUCCGACAACCGCCGAAGUUCUUUCCUCCAUCACGUCGCCUUAUCCCUUUAUGCGCUGGGCCAUGGAUAUUGUCGGACCUCUGCAUAAUUCAAAGCAAAAGCGUUUCCUUCUAGUCCUUACCGAUUUCUUCUCAAAAUGGGUAGAGGCGGACUCGUACGCGAGUAUAAAAGACGUCCAAGUCGAGAAUUUCGUAUGGAAAAACAUCAUCUGUAGGCAUGGAGUUCCUUACGAAAUCGUAACCGAUAACGGGUCUCAAUUUAUUUCCACCCGAUUCGAGGCAUUCUGCGAAAAGUGGAAGAUACGACUCAACAAGUCAACUCCCAGAUAUCCGCAGUGCAACGGACAGGCUGAAACAAUCAACAAGACCAUUCUCGACGGACUGAAGAAACGCUUGGAGCCAAAAAAGGUAGAUGGGCCGACGAACUCGAGGGAGUCCUCUGGUCUCACCGUACCACCCCAAGGCGAGCAACGGGAGAAACUCCCUUCGCCUUGGUAUACGGCGGAGUGCAUGAUUCCCGCAGAAGUAGAAUUUCCCGGUGUUCGAAGAAGGUUCUUACCCGAACGAGAGGAACUCAACAAUGCUAUGCUCUUGGACGAUCUCGACCUCAUUAACGAACGCCGCGGAUCGAGCGCUCAUCCGAAUUCAAAACUACCAGCACGCCGCUGCGAGAUACUAUAACUCCAACGUACGGAACCGAAGGUUCAAUCAGGGAGAUCUGGUCCUUCGCAAAGUCUUCCAAAACACCGCUGAACGAAACGCGGGAAAACUCGGAGCAAACUGGGAAGGUCCCUAUAAAAUCGAAAAAGUCGUCCGACCAGGUUCUUACGAAAUAGCCAACAUGCAGGGCAUAAAAAUCCCUAGAACCUGGAAUGCGAUGCAUCUCAAAAAAUACUAUCACUAAACGAACCAACUCGCAAUCACUGAACUACGAGACGGCUUGAUCUCCGCAAGGAGUACGUAGGCAGUUUGCCGAAAGGCAAAUUCAGCUGUCCUCCCUUAUUAAAAGGGGGGGAGUGGGUACGUAUACUCGUAUACUCCCAAAAAAUCGAAAAACUUCUUACCGCACUUUUGGUGUUUUCGACUUAUCAAAACAUCCUCACCCGCGAAAUCGCAACGAGGUCUUCGGAAAUUGGUCGGCCGCUUGGGAGAAUCGAACCUUUAGCAUCGCGAGACGUCGCAAAAGAUGCCUCAAAAUUGGUUUCUUCCGAGCAAACGAAAUCUCCGCAAAAAGACACAUAUAUGCACACAUUAACAUUUAUUUUGCGCAAAUUAAUCAAAACAACGGCACACGCCACCAAGUCCGAUGCUGAUCACAUCGAACUCACAAACGUCCUAAACAGACAUAGCCAUCUCAUGGAGAUGACUCUCUUACAUCCGACACAAGGAUAAUAGCGCUAUAAAAGAAAUCCGAAAUUUUGGUCUAGCACUUCCGGUCUCCGGAGAGAUGCUCGAUUCGUAUCAAACAAGUCGUAUAAGCCGAGAACUUUUCGCGGACUUUACAUCGAUACGAUCAGACGAAUCAGAAGAAAUCGCGACAGGAAAAACGAUAGCCGGUUAGUCACCGCACAAUCCUUAAACCGAAAGUAAACCUAGGUCUUGCCCUAAACCCAGCGCACUGGUCUCUAACAUCUCAAAGGCAUGAUAUCAAAAGAUAAGAGAUUCUUAAACCACGCCUCUAUGUUUACGUUCGAUACCUUCAGCGCCCCCGCAGAGUUCACAUCUCGCGGAAGAACUCUCGAAACAGGUCUCGAAUAAAACAUUUCACAAUCGAAGAAGGAUAUGAGACGACAACUCAUCACCUUCCUCCCCACUAUUCACAAAUUCAUAAAAAACGUUAUCCGAUUAUCAUACCAUAAAGCCGCGGAGCGGCAGGGAUUCAAAGCCACACACGGCCAGUCCCGAAAUACAAACAAGGCCGUUCAAGGCCGAAGCAUAAAGACAUAAAAAAAAAAAAAAAUCUCUCGCAAGAGAUCUAACCCAAGUCACCCUCAGAACUCACGCUCCCUCUUCACCCGCCGCCUCGUCCGAGCCUGGAGCCGCGUCGCUUCCGUUCUCUCCGACCAUUGGAUCUUUCCCCUCUGGGUCUUCUGGACACGUCGGAAGGAAGCAAGCGGAUUUUAGGUCGGCCAGGAUGAGAUCGAAAUCGCCAUCCUCGGCCGCCAUAUCUCCCUUGCAGCCGGACAGUCGGGCCUCUUCGGCCUCCAAGGUCGGGGGAGUCUCACUUUGGAGCGACACCGAACCACGGCCAUCCCGCCCUCAAUCGUCGCCAAAGCGAAAUCCCUGCUCCGGAUACGCUCGAGGGAACCCAGGGAAGCAGAAAUCUUCGCCAAGCGAGCCUGAAACUCCGCACGAAGGGCAUCCGUAGCCUCUUGGAUCCCGCGGCGCGCUAGUCCAGCGUCACUCUCGAUCUGACGCUGGAGUAGACGCACCUCCGAGGAUUUGGCCUUCCUGGUUUUCUUUUCCUUAAGCAAAGAACUCGCCGUCUUCCCGAGGUCCCUCUCAAGCUCUCCUAUCGCAACCUCGAGCUUCGACACUUUCGCAGAGUGAGAGUCCUCAACAGCCGUCAACAUAGCCUCGGUUUCGGACCAUCUGCCCUGAAGCUCCACCAACUCCCCGGAAAGACGACUGGUCUCAGAACCACAUUCGCUGAUCAUCCCAUCGAUCAACGAUAUGAACUGCGAACAAAAAAAUUUCUUAAGACUAAGUCCAUGAAAAGAAUGCACGACAGACGAUCGAGAAUUCAAACAAAAAACAAACCUUUCCGCGAAGUCCCGACGCUAGGCUCGACCCACCUCGCUGCGAAGUCUCCCCGUCACCGCUCUUGGCCAGUUUCCUCUUCCGACUCUUAGGCUGAGUAGCCUGGACAGCGCUAGGAGCACGCAAUGCCAGAACGAUUUCUUUUCUGGCUGGAGGCGGAGGCAUAGAGUCAGCGGCCUUCUCUUUGUCCUCGACGAGGAUCGGAGUCGUGGAAGAUCCCGCAGGUAGGACUUGCGGGGGAAGAGCCGCGAAGCCGGUCCCGUGACACGGGGCAACGACCUGCGCGGAGGAAGACGGGAAACUCGGAGCCAGUCUGAGCCAAUUCUUUCUCGGCUUGGCGACGAACUAGUUUCUCUCGGAAAGAAAGAUGACCGGCAACACAAGCCGGCACUUCCGCCGGAGAAGUUGGAACCGGAGCCAGAGAGGUGGCCUCACCCAUCUCGACGUCGGAAUCCUUCUUAUCACCUUGGGAGGAAGACAUGUUGAAAGGAAAGUUAUGAAACUAGAGAGGUUUUGAAGAAAAUGAAGGAGGAAAGGUGUGAAGAAAAUGAAUGACAAGAGCUCACUACUUAUAGAAGUAUGGGUUCGGAAUGUCGCCUCGACAACUUUUUUCCGCGGAGUUUUAACUGUAAAUUUCGUUCCAAUACACUUAACCUUGUCAAAGUCAUCUAUCCGCCCGCUAGAGUCACAACUCUAACGGGCUGGGGGGCUAACUGUUGGGGUCAAAAACGGUUACGACAAAUUUAAACAUUCAAAACGUUCGAAGAAGAAAAUAAGAGUUUCUCCGAAGAGUACUUUUCGAAAUAGAUUCUUCCUUACGAAAAACUUGGCGGAAGAGAGAACGAAAAGAAAAGAAUCGAGACGUCCGACGAAAGCUCGAAACAGGUCGUUACGUAGCGACCGACGAUCGUCCCGCUCGGUCGCUACGUAGCGACCGAGCUCGAGCCAAGCUCGGUCGCUACGUAGCGACCGAGCGAUCGCUCCCGCUCGGUCGCUACGUAGCGACCGAGCGAUCGUCCCGCUCGGUCGCUACGUAGCGACCGAGCUCGCCAAGCUCGGUCGCUACGUAGCGACCGAGCGAUCGUCCCGCUCGGUCGCUACGUAGCGACCGAGCUCGAGCCAAAGCUCGGUCGCUACGUAGCGACCGAGCGAUCGUCCCGCUCGGUCGCUACGUAGCGACCGAGCUAGCCAAGCUCGGUCGCUACGUAGCGACCGAGCGAUCGUCCCGCUCGGUCGCUACGUAGCGACCGAGCUCGGCCAAAGCUCGGUCGCUACGUAGCGACCGAGCGAUCGUCCCGCUCGGUCGCUACGUAGCGACCGAGCUCAACCGAAGCUCGGUCGCUACGUAGCGACGAGAGCACUCGUCGCUCGGUCGCUACAUAGCGACCGGGCUCGAGCCAAAGAUCGGUCGCUGUAUAGCGAUUGAACCUUUCCGAACAUCGAUACGACACCAGUCCUUGCAUUCUCGUCAAACCUUCGAAUGCUAUCUCCCGAAGACCGUAGCAAGCUCAGUUUAUGUUUCCCGCUAUUCUAAUUCAUCGAUCAAACUUCGCGGAUUAGAAACCGCGGAAAAAUCGUAGUAAACGUGUCGAGUCGGAAGACGGCCCAAAGGGACCUAAAACACGACUCGAGGCCCAUCCUACGAUUUUUCCUAACCAAAAGCCCGUGAACCACAGCAUGGUUCGCGCUUGGCCCGCGAGGAAGGAUAAAUGUCAAGUUUCCGCGGAUAAAUACGGAAGUUUUGAAGAUAAUUGUGAAGAUCGGGAAAAAUGGAAUAUCUCCAUUUUUAUGCUAUGACGGCUUAAGGGCAGAAGAGUAAAAGCGUAAACCGACCUUGGAGCUAGUAUAUAAGGAGUCCUAGGCGAGGAGCAGAGAAGAGACUUUUUCAGAGCAAACUUAGCACUUAGAGCGAUUUAGGCAACUUUCCGUUUUUGUUAUUUCGAGCUGCGACUCAAUUAGGUUUAGCCGUCUUAGGGUUGCUAGAACUAGGAAUCUCGCCGACAGCUCUCGAGCCCAGGCUUAUACCUUGUUGUAACGCUCAUACGCAGAUUCGGAAUAAGAUCUACUUUGCUCUCUUUUCGAUUUCUUAUUUUUAUCGUUGUUAUUCUCGUGUUCUGAUUGCUUGACGUGUGGUAAUUAACAGAUAUCCGGGUCCUCUGGGAAACUAGGGUUUUCUUAGUUUCCUUAUUUAAACGGAAAUCGACAGUGCGAAUUUCGGUUCCCACAUUCUUCUUGUAAGGUGAUCGGAUUGUAACCAACGUGAUUGAGCUCCGUGUACAGCCACGCCACAGUCGAUCAGAUUUAAAAGGUCAACUCGUUUGUGUUCUUUGAUAGAAGCUAAGCAUGGAUUAUUGAAGUCAUGGAUCUUGAAGUGAUCGGAUUCUUUGAAGCAAGGUUGAUCGGAUUGUAACCAACGGUGAUUGAGCUCCGUUACAGCCACGCUGUGUGUCGAUCAGAUUAAAAAGGUCAACUCGUUUGUGUCUUUGAUAGAAGCUAAGUCAUGGAUUCUUGAAGUCAUGGAUUCUUGAAGUGAUCGGAUUCUUUGAAGCUCUGUGUUUCUUCUUGUAAGGUUGAUCGGAUUGUAACCAACAGUGAUUGAGCUCCAUGUACAGCCACACCGCGGUCGAUCAGAUUAAAAAGGCCAACUCGCUUGUGUUCUUUGAUAGAAGCUAAGUCAUGGAUUCUUGAAGUCAUGGAUUCUUGAAGUGAUCGGAUUCUUUAAAGCUCUUGUGUUCUUCUUGUAAGGUGAUCGGAUUGUAACCAACGGUGAUUGAGCUCCGUGUACAGCCACGCCACGGUCGAUCAGAUUAAAAAGGUCAACUCGUUUGUGUUUCUUUGAUAGAAGCUAAGACAUGGAUUCUUGAAAGUCAUGGAUUCUUGAAGUGAUCGGAAUAUUUGAAGCUCUUGUGUUCUUCUUGUAAGGUUGAUCGGAUUGUAACCAACGGUGAUUGAGCUCCAUGUACAGCCACGCUGCGGUCGAUCAGAUUAAAAAGGUCAACUCGUUUGUGUUCUUUGAUAGAAGCUAAGUCAUGGAUUAUUGAAGUCAUGGAUUCUUGAAGUGAUCGGAUUCUUGAAGCUCUUGUGUUCUUCUUGUAAGGUUGAUCGGAUUGUAACCAACGGUGAUUGAGCUCCGUGUAAAGCCACACCACGGUCGAUCAGAUUAAAAAGGUCAACUCGUUUGUGUUCUUUGAUAGAAGCUAAGUCAUGGAUUCUUGAAGUCAUGGAUUCUUGAAGUGAUCGGAUUCUUUGAAGCUCUUUUGUUCUUCUUGUAAGGUUGAUCGGAUUGUAACCAACGGUGAGUGAGAUCCGUGUACAGCCAAGCCAUGGUCGAUCAGAUUAAAAAGGUCAACUCGUUUGUGUUCUUUGAUAGAAGCUAAGUCAUGGAUUCUUGAAGUCUAUGGUGAUCAAAGGGGUUUGAUUUUCAACAUAAACAAACUAAUAAUAAGAUGAGUAAAUGCCUCAACUUCGUGAAACAAGAUUUCUUAAUAAUCCAAAUAUGUUUUGUUUUUUUUAUCUGAUUCGACUACAACAGAGCGCAAAGAAGACAGAUCAAAGCAAGUUACGCAGAAAAAANNNNNNNNNNNNNNNNNNNNNNNNNNNNNNNNNNNNNNNNNNNNNNNNNNNNNNNNNNNNNNNNNNNNNNNNNNNNNNNNNNNNNNNNNNNNNNNNNNNNUUACGUAGCGACCGAGCGAUCGUCCCGCUCGGUCGCUACGUAGCGACCGAGCUAGCCAAAGCUCGGUCGCUACGUAGCGACCGAGCGAUUUCUCCCGCUCGGUCGCUACGUAGCGACCGAGCUCGAGCCAAAGCUCGGUCGCUACGUAGCGACCGAGCGAUCGUCCCGCUCGGUCGCUACGUAGCGACCGAGCUCAGCCAAGCUCGGUCGCUACGUAGCGACCGAGCGAUCGUCCCGCUCGGUCGCUACGUAGCGACCGAGCUCGAGCAAAGCUCGUCGCUACGUAGCGACCGAGCGAUCGCCCGCUCGGUCGCUACGUAGCGACCGAGCUCAAGCCGAAGCUCGGUCGCUACGUAGCGACCGAGCACUCGUUCCGCUCGGUCGUCGCUACAUAGCGACCGGGCUCGAGCCAAAGUUCGGUCGCUGUGUAGCGAUUGAACCUUUCCGAACAUCGAUACGACACCAGUCCUUGCAUUCUCGUCAAACCUUCGAAUGCUAUCUCCCGAAGACCGUAGCAAGCUCAGUCUAUGUUUCCCGCUAUUCUAAUUCAUCGAUCAAACUUCGCGGAUUAGAAACCGCGGAAAACUCGUAGUAAACGUGUCGAGUCGGAAGACGGCCCAAAGGGACCUAAAACACGACUCGAGGCCCAUCCUACGAUUUUUCCUAACCAAAAGCCCGUGAACCACAGCAUGGUUCGCGCUUGGCCCACGAGGAAGGAUAAAUGUCAAGUUUCCGCGGAUAAAUACGGAAGUUUUGAAGAUAAUUGUGAAGAUCGGGAAAAAUGGAAUAUCUCCAUUUUUAUGCUAUGACGGCUUAAGGGCAGAAGAGUAAAAGCGUAAACCGACCUUGGAGCUAGUAUAUAAGGAGUCCUAGGCGAGGAGCAGGGAGAGAACUUUUUCAGAGCAAACUUAGCACUUAGAGCGAUUUAGGCAACUUUCCGUUUUUGUUAUUUCGAGCUGCGACUCAAUUAGGUUUAGCCGUCUUAGGGUUGCUAGAACUAGGAAUCUCGCCGACAGCUCUCGAGCCCAGGCUUAUACCUUGUUGUAACGCUCAUACGCAGAUUCGGAAUAAGAUCUACUUUGCUCUCUUUUCGAUUUCUUAUUUUUAUCGUUGUUAUUCUCGUGUUCUGAUUGCUUGACGUGUGGUAAUUAACAGAUAUCCGGGUCCUCUGGGAAACUAGGGUUUUCUUAGUUUCCUUAUUUAAACGGAAAUCGACAGUGCGAAUUUCGGUUCCCACAGUUUGGCGCUAGAAGGAGGGGGACUUACGGAUCAAUCUAACCGCAAAAAACCACUCAACGAUCAGGAAAGACAUGCGAGAUUCGACGUGCGCGAAUGUCAUCUCAUUCAGGGGGGAGAAACGGUCGAUCGAGCCAAACCUCGGAACGAUCUCCUUGUUAUCGAGUUGACAAUUCGAGAUAUCGACGUCGCUAGAGUACUAAUCGAUACCGGAAGCUCGGCCGAUAUCAUCUUCAAAGACACUCUUGAAAAGAUGGGGAUCAGUCAAUCCGAGAUCGCAAAAUGCCCAAGCCCACUGCUAGGGCUUUCGGGGGAAACGACCAUGGCCUACGGAUCGAUUAGACUCGCUGUCAAAGCCGGAACCGUGACAAACAUCACAGAGUUUCUAGUCGUCGACCGCCCCGCAUCUUACAACGUUAUCAUGGGGACGCCAUGGCUGAACACCAUGCGCGCAAUCCCAUCAACCUACCAUCUUUGCCUCAAGUUCCCGACCCCUAACGGAGUCGAGGUAAUCUGGGGAAAUCCAAGAGUUUCUCAGGUCUGUUUCGCCGCGGAACUAAAACGAAAGAGACCGAUCCUCGAAAUUACUCCUAAGAAAGCGGAGAAGAGACCUCCAGCAAAGAUACGCGAAGUCAGGAUUCAGCGGAAUUCUUCUGGCAAUCUCGUAUCUUCGCAGCUCUAGAUGAAAAACGCGAGCCAACUUGUGAACCCGUGGUAACGAUCUGUCUCGACGAAGCCUUCCCAGAACGCUGCGUCGAGAUCGGAGCCAAUCUCCACGAGCCUUUAAAGACAGAACUCAUAACCUGUCUUAAAAAGAACCUUAAUACUUUCGCGUGGGCUGCGGAAGAUAUGCCAGGAAUCGACAUUAACAUAACAUGUCACGAGCUGAACAUCGACCCAACAUUCAAACCCGUCAAACAGAAAAGACGGAAGCUGGGACCCGAACGUGCUACCGCAGUAAACGAUGAGGUCGAAAAACUGCUUAAAGUUGGGUCGAUAACGGAAGUAAGAUACCCCGACUGGCUCGCCAACCCCGUAGUAGUCAAAAAGAAAAACGGGAAGUGGCGAGUUUGCGUAGAUUUUACCGACCUAAACAAGGCAUGUCCAAAGGAUAGCUUCCCUCUACCACAUAUCGAUCGAUUGGUAGAAGCAACGGCGGGCAACGAACUCCUAUCCUUCAUGGACGCUUUCUCAGGCUAUAAUCAAAUUAGGAUGAAUCCCGACGAUCGUGAGAAGACUGCGUUCAUUACCGAUCGCGGAACCUAUUGCUAUGAGGUAAUGCCCUUCGGCCUCAAAAACGCUGGAGCAACUUACCAACGACUCGUGAACCGAAUGUUCUCCAAACAACUCGGAAAAACGAUGGAAGUUUAUAUCGACGACAUGCUUGUCAAAUCCCUCAAAGCAAGGGAUCACGUGUCACAUCUCGAAGAAUGCUUCGCACAACUAAACUCCCAUAACAUGAAGCUCAACCCGACGAAAUGCAGAUUCGCCGUGGCAUCAGGAGAAUUCCUCGGCUACUUGGUCACCAACCGCGGUAUCGAAGCAAAUCCAAAACAGAUCAACGCUCUAAUCGAGAUGGCUUCGCCGAAGAAUAAACGGGAAGUCCAAAGACUGACCGGCAGAAUCGCAGCACUUAACCGAUUUAUCUCACGAUCAACAGAUAAGUGCCUGCCCUUCUACGACGUCCUGCGAGGAAAUAAAAAAUUCGAAUGGACGGAAGAGUGCGAAAACGCCUUCCAACAGCUGAAGCGUUAUUUAGCUACUCCUCCAGUCCUCGCAAAACCCGUGGAAGGAGAGCCUUUGUUCUUGUACAUCGCGGUAUCGGCAACAGCCGUAAGCGGAGUCCUGAUCAGGGAAGAACGCGGGGAGCAGAAACCUAUUUUUUACAUAAGCAAAACCUUGCUGGAUGCCGAAUCUAGGUAUCCGUUGAUGGAAAAAUUGGCAUGCGCGGUCGUAACAUCGGCCCGAAAACUACGACCAUAUUUCCAAUCCCACACGAUUGUUAUCCUCACGACUUUUCCCUUACGGACAAUUUUGCAUAGCCCAAGUCAAUCAGGCCGAUUGGCGAAGUGGGCGGUCGAGUUGAGCGAGUAUGACAUCGAAUACCGACCAAGGACGAGCGCAAAAUCACAGGUGCUCGCGGACUUUUUGGUCGAACUUCCAACGGGAGCAAUAACCAACGAGGAACCAAAUUCCACCUGGCUCCUCCACGUCGACGGAUCUUCAUCCAAGCAAGGAUCGGGUAUCGGGAUCCGUCUCACAUCUCCAACAAGCGAGAUCCUGGAACAAUCGUUCAGACUGGAAUUCCAUGCCUCAAACAACGAGGCCGAAUACGAAGCAUUGAUCGCAGGUCUACGUUUGGCUCACGGCUUAAAAAUACGCAAUCUCCACGCUUACUGCGACUCCCAGUUAGUGGCCAGUCAAUUCAGCGGAGAAUAUGAAGCCAGAGACGAACGGAUGGACGCGUACCUCAAACUGGUCCAAGGUCUAGCUCAAGACUUCGACUGUUUCGCCCUUACCCGGAUCCCCCGUUCCGAGAAUGUCCAGGCGGACGCCCUCGCGGCCUUAGCAUCAAGUUCCGAUCCAGGACUCAAAAGGGUAAUUCCGGUCGAGUUCAUCGAACAUCCGAGUAUCGGACCCCCAGUCGUUGUCAAUCUCAUAGAGGGUCAAGACGACGAGGAAGAAGAGAUUACGAUACCACCACCAUCGGAGCAAUCCGAUUACGGUUGUGAUACCCCAUGGCUUCAGACGAUUCGAGACUACAUUAUCGACGGGCAACUGCCCGCCGAAAAAUGGUCAGCUCGCAAGAUCCGAACACAGGCCGCACGCUACGUAACAGUGGACGGCGAAAUCUACAAGUGGAGAUUCUCCGGACCGCUCCUGACGUGCCUGGAAGGAGAAAAGGCGAGGAAAGUAAUGGAGGAAAUACAUUCCGGCUCAUGCGGCAACCAUUCCGGCGGAAGAUCACUAGCCGUGAAAAUCAAACGCCACGGGUACUAUUGGCCAACAAUGAUCGGAGAUUGCGAAAAAUUCGCACGAAAAUGCGAAAAAUGCCAAAGGCAUGCGCCAACUAUCCGACAACCGCCGAAGUUCUUUCCUCCAUCACGUCGCCUUAUCCCUUUAUGCGCUGGGCCAUGGAUAUUGUCGGACCUCUGCAUAAUUCAAAGCAAAAGCGUUUCCUUCUAGUCCUUACCGAUUUCUUCUCAAAAUGGGUAGAGGCGGACUCGUACGCGAGUAUAAAAGACGUCCAAGUCGAGAAUUUCGUAUGGAAAACAUCAUCUGUAGGCAUGGAGUUCCUUACGAAAUCGUAACCGAUAACGGGUCUCAAUUUAUUUCCACCCGAUUCGAGGCAUUCUGCGAAAAGUGGAAGAUACGACUCAACAAGUCAACUCCCAGAUAUCCGCAGUGCAACGGACAGGCUGAAACAAUCAACAAGACCAUUCUCGACGGACUGAAGAAACGCUUGGAGGCCAAAAAAGGUAGAUGGGCCGACGAACUCGAGGGAGUCCUCUGGUCUCACCGUACCACCCCAAGGCGAGCAACGGGAGAAACUCCCUUCGCCUUGGUAUACGGCGCGGAGUGCAUGAUUCCCGCAGAAGUAGAAUUUCCCGGUGUUCGAAGAAGGUUCUUACCCGAACGAGAGGAACUCAACAAUGCUAUGCUCUUGGACGAUCUCGACCUCAUUAACGAACGCCGGGAUCGAGCGCUCAUCCGAAUUCAAAACUACCAGCACGCCGCUGCGAGAUACUAUAACUCCAACGUACGGAACCGAAGGUUCAAUCAGGGAGAUCUGGUCCUUCGCAAAGUCUUCCAAAACACCGCUGAACGAAACGCGGGAAAACUCGGAGCAAACUGGGAAGGUCCCUAUAAAAUCGAAAAAGUCGUCCGACCAGGUUCUUACGAAAUAGCCAACAUGCAGGGCAUAAAAAUCCCUAGAACCUGGAAUGCGAUGCAUCUCAAAAAAUACUAUCACUAAACGAACCAACUCGCAAUCACUGAACUACGAGACGGCUUGAUCUCCGCAAGGAGUACGUAGGCAGUUUGCCGAAAGGCAAAUUCAGCUGUCCUCCCUUAUUAAAAAGGGGGGAGUGGGUACGUAUACUCGUAUACUCCCAAAAAAUCGAAAAACUUCUUACCGCACUUUUGGUGUUUUCGACUUAUCAAAACAUCCUCACCCGCGAAAUCGCAACGAGGUCUUCGGAAAUUGGUCGGCCGCUUGGGAGAAUCGAACCUUUAGCAUCGCGAGACGUCGCAAAAGAUGCCUCAAAAUUGAUUUCUUCCGAGCAAACGAAAUCUCCGCAAAAAGACACAUAUAUGCACACAUUAACAUUUAUUUUGCGCAAAUUAAUCAAAACAACGGCACACGCCACCAAGUCCGAUGCUGAUCACAUCGAACUCACAAACGUCCUAAACAGACAUAGCCAUCUCAUGGAGAUGACUCUCUUACAUCCGACACAAGGAUAAUAGCGCUAUAAAAGAAAUCCGAAAUUUUGGUCUAGCACUUCCGGUCUCCGGAGAGAUGCUCGAUUCGUAUCAAACAAGUCGUAUAAGCCGAGAACUUUUCGCGGACUUUACAUCGAUACGAAUCAGGAAGAAAUCGCGACAGGAAAAACGAUAGCCGGUUAGUCACCGCACAAUCCUUAAACCGAAAGUAAACCUAGGUCUUGCCCUAAACCCAGCGCACUGGUCUCUAACAUCUCAAAGGCAUGAUAUCAAAAGAUAAGAGAUUCUUAAACCACGCCUCUAUGUUUACGUUCGAUACCUUCAGCGCCCCCGCAGAGUUCACAUCUCGCGGAAGAACUCUCGAAACAGGUCUCGAAUAAAACAUUUCACAAUCGAAGAAGGAUAUGAGACGACAACUCAUCACCUUCCUCCCCACUAUUCACAAAUUCAUAAAAAACGUUAUCCGAUUAUCAUACCAUAAAGCCGCGGAGCGGCAGGGAUUCAAAGCCACACACGGCCAGUCCCGAAAUACAAACAAGGCCGUUCAAGGCCGAAGCAUAAAGACAUAAAAAAAAAAACAAAUCUCUCGCAAGAGAUCUAACCCAAGUCACCCUCAGAACUUACGCUCCCUCUUCACCCGCCGCCUCGUCCGAGCCUGGAGCCACGUCGCUUCCGUUCUCUCCGACCAUCGGAUCUUUCCCCUCUGGGUCUUCUGGACACGUCGGAAGGAAGCAAGCGGAUUUUAGGUCGGCCAGGAUGAGAUCGAAAUCGCCAUCCUCGGCCGCCAUAUCUCCCUUGCAGCCGGACAGUCGGGCCUCUUCGGCCUCCAAGGUCGGGGGAGUCUCACUUUGGAACGACCGAACCACGGCCAUCCCGCCCUCAAUCGUCGCCAAAGCGAAAUCCCUGCUCCGGAUACGCUCGAGGGAACCCAGGGAAGCAGAAAUCUUCGCCAAGCGAGCCUGAAACUCCGCACGAAGGGCAUCCGUAGCCUCUUGGAUCCCGCGGCGCGCUAGUCCAGCGUCACUCUCGAUCUGACGCUGGAGUCGACGCACCUCCGAGGAUUUGGCCUUCCUGGUUUUCUUUUCCUUAAGCAAGGAACUCGCCGUCUUCCCGAGGUCCCUCUCAAGCUCUCCUAUCGCAACCUCGAGCUUCGACACUUUCGCAGAGUGAGAGUCCUCGACAGCCGUCAACAUAGCCUCGGUUUCGGACCAUCUGCCCUGAAGCUCCACCAACUCCCCGGAAAGACGACUGGUCUCAGAACCACAUUCGCUGAUCAUCCCAUCGAUCAACGAUAUGAACUGCGAACAAAAAAAUUCUUAAGACUAAGUCCAUGAAAAGAAUGCACGACAGACGAUCGAGAAUUCAAACAAAAACAAACCUUUCCGCGAAGUCCCGAUGCUAGGCUCGACCCACCUCGCUGCGAAGUCUCCCCGUCACCGCUCUUGGCCAGUUUCCUCUUCCGACUCUUAGGCUGAGUAGCCUGGACAGCGCUAGGAGCACGCAAUGCCAGAACGAUUUCUUUUCUGGCUGGAGGCGGAGGCAUAGAGUCAGCGGCCUUCUCUUUGUCCUCGACGAGGAUCGGAGUCGUGGAAGAUCCCGCAGGUAGGACUUGCGGGGGAAGAGCCGCGAGCCGGUCCCGUGACACGGGGCAACGACCUGCGCGGAGGAAGACGGAACUCGGAGCCAGUCUGAGCCAAUUCUUUCUCGGCUUGGCGACGAACUAGUUUCUCUCGGAAAGAAAGAUGACCGGCAACACAAGCCGGCACUUCCGCCGGAGAAGUUGGAACCGGAGCCAGAGAGGUGGCCUCACCCAUCUCGACGUCGGAAUCCUUCUUAUCACCUUGGGAGGAAGACAUGUUGAAAGGAAAGUUAUGAAACUAGAGAGGUUUUGAAGAAAAUGAAGGAGGAAAGGUGUGAAGAAAUGAAUGACAAGAGCUCACUACUUAUAGAAGUAUGGGUUCGGAAUGUCGCCUCGACAACUUUUUUCCGCGAAGUUUUAACUGUAAAUUUCGUCCAAUACACUUAACCUUGUCAAAGUCAUCUAUCCGCCCGCUAGAGUCACAACUCUAACGGGCUGGGGGGCUAACUGUUGGGGUCAAAAACGGUUACGACAAAUUUAAACAUUCAAAACGUUCGAGGAAGAAAAUAAGAGUUUCUCCGAAGAGUACUUUUCGAAAUAGAUUCUUCCUUACGAAAAAACUUGGCGGAAGAAAGAAUCGAGACGUCCGACGAAAGCUCGAAACAGGUCGUUACGUAGCGACCGAGCGAUCGUCCCGCUCGGUCGCUACGUAGCGACCGAGCUCGAGCCAAAGCUCGGUCGCUACAUAGCGACCGAGCGAUCGUCCCGCUCGGUCGCUACGUAGCGACCGAGCGAUCGUCCCGCUCUGUCGCUACGUAGCGACCGAGCUCGCCAAGCUCGGUCGCUACGUAGCGACCGAGCGAUCGUCCCGCUCGGUCGCUACGUAGCGACCGAGCUCGAGCCAAAGCUCGGUCGCUACGUAGCGACCGAGCGAUCGUCCCGCUCGGUCGCUACGUAGCGACCGAGCUCAGCCAAGCUCGGUCGCUACGUAGCGACCGAGCGAUCGUCCCGCUCGGUCGCUACGUAGCGACCGAGCUCGGCCAAAGCUCGGUCGCUACGCAGCGACCGGCGAUCGUCCCGCUCGGUCGCUACGUAGCGACCGAGCUCAAGCCGAAGCUCGGUCGCUACGUAGCGACCGAGCACUCGUUCCGCUCGGUCGCUACAUAGCGACCGGGCUCGAGCCAAAGAUCGGUCGCUGUAUAGCGAUUGAAACUUUCCGAACAUUGAUACGACACCAGUCCUUGCAUUCUCGUCAAACCUUCAAUGCUAUCUCCCGAAGACCGUAGCAAGCUCAGUUUAUGUUUCCCGCUACUCUAAUUCAUCGAUCAAACUUCGCGGAUUAGAAACCGCGGAAAACUCGUAGUAAACGUGUCGAGUCGGAAGACGGCCCAAAGGGGACCUAAAACACGACUCGAGGCCCAUCCUACGAUUUUUCCUAACCAAAAGCCCGUGAACCACAGCAUGGUUCGCGCUUGGCCCGCGAGGAAGGAUAAAUGUCAAGUUUCCGCGGAUAAAUACGGAAGUUUUGAAGAUAAUUGUGAAGAUUGGGAAAAAUGGAAUAUCUCCAUUUUUAUGCUAUGACGGCUUAAGGGCAGAAGAGUAAAAGCGUAAACCGACCUUGGAGCUAGUAUAUAAGGAGUCCUAGGCGAGGAGCAGAGAAGAGACUUUUUCAGAGCAAACUUAGCACUUAGAGCGAUUUAGGCAACUUUCCGUUUUUGUUAUUUCGAGCUGCGACUCAAUUAGGUUUAGCCGUCUUAGGGUUGCUAGAACUAGGAAUCUCGCCGACAGCUCUCGAGCCCAGGCUUAUACCUUGUUGUAACGCUCAUACGCAGAUUCGGAAAUAAGAUCUACUUUGCUCUCUUUUCGAUUUCUUAUUUUUAUCGUUGUUAUUUUCGUGUUCUGAUUGCUUGACGUGUGGUAAUUAACAGAUAUCCGGGUCCUCUGGGAAACUAGGGUUUUCUUAGUUUCCUUAUUUAAACGGAAAUCGACAGUGCGAAUUUCGGUUCCCACAUUCUUCUUGUAAGGUUGAUCGGAUUGUAACCAACGGUGAUUGAGCUCCGUGUACAGCCACGCCACAGUCGAUCAGAUUAAAAAGGUCAACUCGUUUGUGUUCUUUGAUAGAAGCUAAGUCAUGGAUUAUUGAAGUCAUGGAUUCUUGAAGUGAUCGGAUUCUUUGAAGCAAGGUUGAUCGGAUUGUAACCAACGGUGAUUGAGCUCCGUGUACAGCCACGCUGUGGUCGAUCAGAUUAAAAAGGUCAACUCGUUUGUGUUCUUUGAUAGAAGCUAAGUCAUGGAUUCUUGAAGUCAUGGAUUCUUGAAGUGAUCGGAUUCUUUGAAGCUCUUGUGUUCUUCUUGUAAGGUUGAUCGGAUUGUAACCAACAGUGAUUGAGCUCCAUGUACAGCCACACCGCGGUCGAUCAGAUUAAAAAGGCCAACUCGCUUGUGUUCUUUGAUAGAAGCUAAGUCAUGGAUUCUUGAAGUCAUGGAUUCUUGAAGUGAUCGGAUUCUUUAAAGCUCUUGUGUUCUUCUUGUAAGGUUGAUCGGAUUGUAACCAACGGUGAUUGAGCUCCGUGUACAGCCACGCCACGGUCGAUCAGAUUAAAAAGGUCAACUCGUUUGUGUUCUUUGAUAGAAGCUAAGACAUGGAUUCUUGAAAGUCAUGGAUUCUUGAAGUGAUCGGAAUAUUUGAAGCUCUUGUGUUCUUCUUGUAAGGUUGAUCGGAUUGUAACCAACGGUGAUUGAGCUCCAUGUACAGCCACGCUGCGGUCGAUCAGAUUAAAAAGGUCAACUCGUUUGUGUUCUUUGAUAGAAGCUAAGUCAUGGAUUAUUGAAGUCAUGGAUUCUUGAAGUGAUCGGAUUCUUUGAAGCUCUUGUGUUCUUCUUGUAAGGUUGAUCGGAUUGUAACCAACGGUGAUUGAGCUCCGUGUAAAGCCACACCACGGUCGAUCAGAUUAAAAAGGUCAACUCGUUUGUGUUCUUUGAUAGAAGCUAAGUCAUGGAUUCUUGAAGUCAUGGAUUCUUGAAGUGAUCGGAUUCUUUGAAGCUCUUUUGUUCUUCUUGUAAGGUUGAUCGGAUUGUAACCAACGGUGAGUGAGAUCCGUGUACAGCCAAGCCAUGGUCGAUCAGAUUAAAAAGGUCAACUCGUUUGUGUUCUUUGAUAGAAGCUAAGUCAUGGAUUCUUGAAGUCUAUGGUGAUCAAAGGGGUUUGAUUUUCAACAUAAACAAACUAAUAAUAAGAUGAGUAAAUGCCUCAACUUCGUGAAACAAGAUUUCUAAUAAUCCAAAUAUGUUUUGUUUUUUUUAUCUGAUUCGACUACAACAGAGCGCAGAAGACAGAUCAAAGCAAGUUACGCAGAAAAAAUAUGAUAUAGAAAAACAUGAUUUACCUUUUAUGAAACAGCUCUGAAACUCGCUUUUAUCUGAUUUACCUUUUCGUUUUAGCGACGUUCUUUGGAAGAAGAGAUAUGAGUUGCAAUGAAAGAGCAAAGUCAACUUAUAGACAGUCUAUAAUGAUCUGUUAUGACUUAUUCUAAUUCUAAAUAAAAUGAAUAUUUUUUUGUGCACCGAAUAAAAAAGAUAUAGUUUUUUGUACUACAAACUACGAAUUAUAUAUUUUUAUUACAAGAGUCAGAUUCCUAUAAAGUUUCUCAAUGAGAUCAAUUCUUUCAAAUAGAUUUUUUUUUUUAAUUUUUUUGUCACAAAAAAUAACUUUAGAUAAAAAAAUGAAUGAAAUAGCUUUUUAAUUUUAAAAUUUUUAAUUUUAAUUUUUAAAAAUUUGAAAUUAUAUCCGCAGAACUCUAACCCUUAACAAAUACUAUCCUAGGAAUCCCCUAUAUAUUAAAUGAGAAAUCACUUUAAUGAUUUCUGGUGACGUGUCGCUUAUAGGUGAAGUUUCAAAAAAUUGUUAUCAUUGAUUAGUCGAUUGUUUUUAAAUUUUAUUAUUUAAAUUAAAUCUAAAAAUUUAAGGUAAGUCUAAAAACAUUUAACAUCACUUGCCAUAUAAUCUAAAGAAUAUUACAAAUAACAAUUUAUGGCAACUAAUUCUCGAAAUUAUAGAAAGAUUAAUAAUGUUUAAUUUAUUACUUUUAAUAUCUAUAAACUAUAAAAUAUAAUGAACGAAUUUUUAUAUAAGAUAAUUAUAAUAGUUUUAUACUCUACUUGAUAAAUUGUAUUCGAAUAUAAUUAUAUAAUAACUAUUUUAAAUAUUACAAAAUCCAAACAUGUCUAUUAAUAUGAUUUUGAAAUUAUUUAUCGUUGUUUACAAAAUAAAUUUAACAGAAUUUUAAAAUUAUUUAUAAAAUGUUAUAAAUUAUUUAUAAAAAUAUAAAUCCUACUAUAUAUCAAUGUGAUUUUUAUUACGUGUUAAUCAUAAAUGAACUCUUCAAAUUGUUAUAAUUUGAUUGGCCGAUAAUUUUUAAUUUUAUUUAUUAUAAUUAUAUCUAAAAGGAAAGGAUAAUUCAAAUACCACUUUCAAAAUAUUCUACAUAAUAUUAGAAAUAAUUAUUUAUGGUAACUAAUUGUUGAAACUAUGAAAGUGUAAUAAUGCAAUCAAUUUUUUAUAUAUUUAUAAAUUACAUAAAAUAAUAAACAAAAAUGUUUAUUUGAAUUGAUAUAAUGAUUUUAUAUUCAUAUAGAAAGAAUUAUAUUUCUAUAUAAAGUAUCAUAAUAACUAUUAAUGUCUAAUAAUUCAAUGCAUGCUUUAUAAAUCAUUUAUAAAAUUAUAAAUACAUUUAUAAAAAUUAUUUAUAUUGGCUUAUCAGAUGUUUUAAAUUAUUAUAAGAGAUUCUAAGUCAUUUAUAGAAGCUUAUACAUUAAUUUAUAAAAUGUAUUUUGAAAAUUUAUCCUCCUAUUACAAUAUUUUUGAAUUUUUUCAUUUUUAAUGGUAAAAUUCUUCAACUAUGUUUACUUAGUGUAGAAACUUCUAAACUAAAGAUUUACUGGUACUAAUGGUAAUUAUGACCUUCUAAAGUUUAAUUCAUUAAAUAAAGUUAUUUUAGGGCGGUUUUCAUUAAAUACUUAGUUUGAGGGGUUUUUACCCAAAACAAACUUAGUUGAGGGGUUUUAACGUUAAAAUUCCUUAUUCUUUCUUUAUUAUCUAUUAUUUAAAUCCUUAUAGUGGGAUUUGUUUUAUCAAAAUCAGUUGCAAUCAACUGGCGAGAUAUCUUAUUUCCUAAUAUCAUGCAUUUAAUAUUUAAAUAUAUAUAUAGCAAAAUUUGAGUUACCAAGAUUAUGUAUAUAUUAUAACCAGAAUAUUUUCAAAAAAUUAUUAGAAGAUAUUCUAUCUCAUAGCUGAAUUAAAAUUUAUUAGAAGAUAUUAUAUCUCAUAGUUUCUCUUAAAAGUUAGGUCAUUUAGAAACUUAAACUAGUUUUCUAUAUAAAUAUCACGCCACCCCCAUUAGUUUCACGCAUCUAUCUUUUAAGUCUUCAUAUGUUUUUGAUCGUUCUAAUUUAAAUUCUACUUUUAUGAUCUUGCGCAGGUGUAUGAUAAUCAAUAAGUAACUCAUAGACGGGAACACCAUUACUGGUAAUUUUAUGGGGGAUUCUUCUUCUCCGUUUAUUUUUGUUCUCUUCCUCUUCAUGUUGUAUCUCUAUCUAUAUUUUUGCAUCAGUAGUGAUUCAACUAACAAAAAGAGACGACUCUGUUUAUCCAGGAACUGAUCAUCCCUUUCGAAAACGGUAAUUCUUUUUUUAUAAAGUUAAAUCACUUAGCAAGAAUAUAAUAUAAGAUGUGUAUGCUAAUCAAGUGCAAUUUAUUUAUUGUGUGUGAUCCUCUUCAGGUACGUCUGAGAGCCAAAGGUAAUCUCAAAGCUUUUUAAAAACUUUGAAAUUCAUUGACGUUGUCCUAUCAAUUAUAUAAUUUGUUAUCUUUUGGGGAUUGUUUACAUCUUUAAAUAUUUUUGUUAGAAUUACCUCUUUUAUGGCUCUAAGCUUAGAGAAGGAAACCGUAAAUCAUCUCUGCUGUUACAAUGAAACCAAUGAUAAUAAAUCUCAGGUAAUUCAAAUCUCUGUUUUAUAUUUCAUGGCUGAUUUUUCUAUUGGGGUUAUGCAUAAAAUAUUUGUUUUUUCUCAAUUAUAUUUUCUGAUGUUUUAAGAUUGGUUUGAAUUGUGAUCGUUUGAAGCAUAAUGCAUUCUCAGUACACACUCCAUGAUAAAUACUUCUAUGUAAAUUGUGUCAAUUAUGUUAGUGAUUUUGCAUCUGAGUAUUGUGACUGAUGUUCCAAGAGAGAAAUCAUAUCAUCUCAAACCGAGAUUGUUGGGAAAGGUAUUUAGUUUAUAGAUGUAAUUGGAUAAUUGACAUCUAAGGGAUACAUUUUACUAGAUAGUACCAAACAGUCCUUUUAAACCUUUUGAACUCUAACUUUUUGAACUAACACAAUAAUCAUGUUUAACCUAUAAGCAGUUCAAAGAGUUAUGUAUCUAAAUGAUACGUUUUAUCAGAUAUAAAUGAUACGUUUUAUUAGAUAGUACCAAUCAGUCCUUUUAAACUCAAACAAUGCCAUGUUCUGAGUUGUACACAUUGUAUUGACCUUUUUUUUUCCUUGCGGUGUGUAUUCAGAUAGCAGUAGUGAAGUGCAAAUAUGAAGUAAUAUCAACCAAAAUUAAGAAAAGUCUUUUAAAAGUAGAGAUAAUCACAUGGGCCUCUCUUGAACAUGACAAACAACCAGUAGUUUUGCCAGACCCGAAUUUCUUAAAAGGUUUUCUACUUUUUAUUUUCUUAUUAUUUAGUUUCACCUGAUGAGAAGUUUGAAUCACAGACUCUUGACAUUUUAAAAUUUAUAUUAUUUGUUUGUGUAAUGGUGCAGAGGUUUCAAUGAGACCGGCUUAUCCUUCUUCCAAGAAAGUAAAGGACUAUGACAAGCUAGAAGCUGAAGUGAAGAAGAAUAGAAGGAUGAUAAGCUUGAAGGAGACGCUGCUUUGAACAAGUUCUUCCGUGAGAUAUAUUUGAAUUCUGAUGAGGAUAUGAGGAGUGCUAGAACAAAUCAUUUGUGAGUAUCUAUCUACAAUAUUCGUAUUUAGUCUUUCUUCUUUCAUGGAGAUUACAAUGUUUUGGCAUUUUGAUUGACUUUUUUGCAGUUUUGCACAAUCAACAGGUGGAAUCUAUUGGGACAAUGCUUUCAAUAGACUGGAAAGAUGUUGGUGCUAAGAAAAUCAAGAAAACUCUUCAUGAUGAUCUGGCGCUCAAGACAUGGAAAAUAUGAUCUUAUAUGAUGUGUGGGUUUUACCUUAAUCUAGACAGAACUCGAAGCCUUGGUCUUAAGGUCUGGUUUCUCUACUUUAUGGACCUAAGGUACUUUGUAUUUUCCAUAACUCAUAUUGUUUAUACGAAACACUGAAAUUUUUAAUCUAAACGUUCUAAUGUAUUCUUUGUUCAUAUGAACAUAGUAUAAAUAUCAAUAUGUAAUAUCUAAUCUUUCAUAUUAACCACAUACAUGUAACACAAGUAUUAUAUAGUUGUAAAUAUGUAAUUAUCAAUUUAGUAUUGAUGUUAAUACCCGCACAUGCGUGCGGGCGGUCACCUAGUUUCUAUUUAAAUAACUAUUUUUGACCCAUAUCUCCCAUGCAUUUUGCUAGUUCUAUUCGUACCUCGAGAUUCGAUUUCCGUUUUCGACCAAUAUGAGAACCCUAAGACCACCACUUUGUACCGUAACAGAGCCAAGCUUACUCCUCCACCUUGCAUUGCUUCCUCAUGAGACCGUCGAAAGGCAAGCACGCAAGAUCUGGAAAACACGUCUCCAAAAACCCUAAAAGCCAACGCUUUUUCACACCAUCUCCCGCCGACUCUCAUCACUGCUCAGAUAUGUUUUUAGUAGCUAUGACGAUAAUGGUUUUUGGUAAGGCAAAUUUCUUACACCUGAGAAUCUGUUGUGAGAUAUGUUCAGAGAAACCAAGUUUUUUAGACCAGAGGGGGAAAAGAGGUCGCCUGAAAGCAAGUUGUGCGAAAUGUCCAGAUCCUCGCAGGUAUAAAGCCAUCUAAUGCAUUCCAGCUCAAGUUUAAGGCAAUGUUUAGAUUUUCAAUGUCAAAGAGCUCUUCGGGUAUGGCUCCAGAGAUGUUAUUACUACUGAGAUCAAGAAGUUUAAUAUUUGCGCUUUCACCUAGAGACGUAGGGAUCCUUCCAGUGAAGAAAUUUUCACCAAGAAUGAGCCGGUUAAGCGAAAGGAGCUAACCAAGACCAUCAGGAAGCUUGCCAGUUAAGGCAUUUGAAUAGACAUCAAGAACCUGAAGCUUUGUUAAGGUAGAUAAAGAGAGAGGAAGAUAACCUCUAAGGCCCUGUUCGUUUGUACAUCUGGAAGAUGUAUCUAGAUGGUCCAUCUAGAUGUUUUAUCCAGAUGCUUCAUCUGGGUGUUGUUCGUUUCUUCAUUUCAUCCAUGCAUUCAGAUGAAUCAUCUGAAUGCAACUAUGUUCGUUUGCUUUUCAUUUUUUAACUUUCAUCUUCAUCCAGGUGGACUUGUUAAUAAAAUGACUAAAAUUAAAAUUUUUACGUUUCGGCGGAAAAAUAGCAUUUUACCGGUUUUGGCCGAAAAUAUUUUUGCAGUUUUUAAGGAAAUAUGUGUUUUUCGCGAAAAAGUACAUUUUUAUGGUUUUGGCGGAAAAAUAAGUUUAAUGGGUUUGACGGGAAAAUACGUUUUUGCGAUUUGGACGGAAAAAGUGUGUUUUGAAGUUUGGGGGGGGGGGGGGCGAAAGUGUUUUUGACGGAAAAGUUUUUUUUCACGAUUUUGGCGGGAAAUUGUUUUUCGCGAUUUUGGCGGGAAAAGUUUUUUUUCGCGAUUUUGCGGGAAAAGCAUUUUUGCGAUUUUGGCGGAAAAAUACAUUUUUCCAGUUUUGGCGGGAAAAUACAUUUUUGCAGUUUUGGCGGGAAAAUACAUUUUUUCCGGUUUUGGCGGGAAAAUGUGCUUUCCGGUUUUGAUGGGAAAUGCGUUUUUCCGGUUUUGGCGGGAAAAUGCAUUUUCCGGUUUUGGCGGGAAAAUGCGUUUUUCCGGUUUUGGCGAAAAAAAUUUCAUUUUCCGAUAUUGGCGGGAAAAUUGUGUUUUUCAGUUUUGGCGGAAAAAUGCGUUUUUCCGGUUUUGGCGGGAAAUUCUGUUUUCCGGUUUGGCGGGAACAUUCAGUUUUUGGGUUUUGGCGAGAAAAUUCUGUUUUCUGGUUUUGGCGGGAAAAUUUUGUUUUCCGGUUUUGGCGGGAACAUCCCGUUUUCCGGUUUUGGCGGGAAAAUUGUGUUUUUUGGUUUUGGUGGGAAAAUGCUUUUUGGAGUUUUGGUGGGAAAAUGUGUUUUUAGGCUUUGGCGGGAAAAUGCGUUUUUUUUUAUUUUGACGGGAAAAUGCGUUUUUUUUUGGUUUUGGUCGAAAAGUGCGGUUUUACUGGUUUAGCCGAAAAAUGUGUUUUUAUGAAAAUGUUUGUUUUAUGUUUUUUUUUUGCGGAAAAAUACAUCUUGCGGUUUUGACGGGAAAGUGUGUUUUUUAGUUUUUGCGAGAAAAUGCAUUUUUUGGUUAUAGCGGAAAAAUGUAUAUGAAAAAAUAGAAUUUACGGUUUGAAAAUAAUAUUUUGAUUUUAAAAGGUCAUUUUUAUCAUUUUGGACUAAAUUAGAUGCAUCUGCAUCCAGAUGCACCAUCAAGACUCAGCUUCAUUUGGAUGAGAAUUUGAGAUGAGUUUUUAAAAAUUCAGCUUGGUGAUCCAUCUGGAUGUAGCGUUAUAAUGCACAAAACGAACAUCAAUUUGCAUCUUCACCCAGAUGGAUCAGCUGGGUGAGGAAACGAACAGGGCCUAAGAGUAUUGUUGCUCAAGGUUAGCAUUUGGAGUUGUCUGCAGUUGCUUAUCUCCCAAGGAACUGAACCGGAGAGAUUGUUCUCAGACAAAUCAAGGAAGCUAAGGUUCUGAAUAAACCCUAUUUUUUUAGGAAUCUCUCCUAUGCUGCUGUUAUUGACAAGUCUUAAUUUGACAAGAGAAGUGCAGUUUCUGAUCUCCGGUGGGAUAACACCGGAGAUGGCAUUAGACAUAAGCAAGAUCUUAGUCAGGUUACGAAGCUGGAACAAACCAGCAGGUAAGACUCCGGUGAGAAAGUUCUGAGACAAGUCAAGAGCUUGGAGAUUCUUACAACCAGCUAAACUCGGUCGGAAUGUUCCCUUCUAGCAUGUUCUGCCACCCUAAGAAGAUGUUAAGCUCCUUAAGCAAACCAAUCGCAAGAGGAAUCAAAACCGAAAUCUCAUUGGCGUCGAUCUGCAACUGAAGAAGCCUUGUGCAGUUGCUUAGAACAGAAGGUAUCGACCCUGUGAUGUUGUUGCUGCUAAGCAUAAGCUGUUGGAGAUUCGACAAGUUACCAAACGUUUCAGGGAUGGGUUCUUGAGAGAUAGUUCGUAGAGAGAUCAAUGGAGGUUAAGCUUUUGAUGAAUCCGAUCUCCUCAGGGAUAGGUCCGUGAAGGUUAUUCUGCCAUAGAAGCAUCUUCUCUAGGUUUUGAAGUUGACCUAGCUCUCGUGGAAGCGUGCCAGACAAGUCAUUGUCGUAUAGAAAGAGAUUGAUAAGCGCAGAGCAGUUUCCAAGCUCUUUAGGGAUCUCACCCGAGAGCAUUGCUGAAUAUAGACAGAUAUAGUUUCAAGCUUGCUUAGUUGACCUAACGUGACGGGUAAGUUACCGGAUAUUUCCGUUGCCGCGAGCCCUAGAACCGUGAGAAUAAUUGUCAAAUAUUUCUACAAUAUUUCUCCUUCUCUGAAUCAUUAUCGUCCUGAAUCAUUUUCCUUGCCCUUAAAACCGCUAACACGCCUAAUACCGCUAGAAUAAUUGUCAAACUAAUUUAGCCCAAUGGCUAUCUUGAGUACUUGAGAAAGCACAAAAUCUUCACCAGGCUGUGUCAGUGUGCUUAGCCGUGUACCAUUACUGAAUAAACAAGACCUGAAGCCUUUGGAACAUAGUCCAUUAUUUCCUUCCAUCUCUUCUUCUAUCAUUUGUCUGAACACUUUACUGUGUGGAAGAAAACGUGAGAAUCUAUCGUGAGAGAUAUUCAAAGAAACCAAGUUUUUAAGACCGGACUGGGAAAAGAGGUGGCCUGAAAGCAUGUUGUACGAUAUAUCCAGCACGGAUAAUCGGUUAAGAGCUGAGAUCCUCGCCGGGAUGAAGCCAUCUAAUGAGUUCCAGCUCAAGUUUAAGGCAAUGUCUAGAUUUUCAAUGUCAAAGAGUUUUUCAGGUAUGGUUCCAAGAGAUGUUGUUACUGCUGAGAUCAAGAAGCUGAAGAUUCGUGCAUUGACCAAGAGAUGUUGUUACUGCUGAGAUCAAGAAUGUGGUUUUGCAUAAUAGUUUGUGUCAAUACAGUCAGGAUUGUAAGAUGGUUUGUAUUCGAGACCUGAGCCAAGCGUUUAAGAUUCUUCCUCGUUUCAAGAGUGUAAACUCCGUGUAUUAUUACUACACUAAUGCCUAUCAAUUAGCCAAAAGAUAAACAAUUUUUUUUUGUGACCGAUGUUUAUACUAUCAAGGUAAUUGUAUAUUUUAGGUUAACUAGAUGUUUGGUGUCAAAGCUGUUGACUCCUCCAUCUCUUGAUCUUCGUUAAACCAAAUGAUAAAAUCAUGUUCAAUGAUCACUAUCAAAGCAUUGUCAUACAAAAAAGGGAGACAUUGAAGAAAAUAUGGUUCGACAUACAGAAUGUAUUUCAAACUUAGCAUUACAGCGAGUGAGCAUGGAAUAGAUAAACGGAAUAUCGCACGCAGACAAGUAGUAAACAAAAACGACUUAUAUAUCCCAUCACACAAUGAACAGUGGGUACUGAUUCUGAGUAGGUUCCCCUGAAAACCAAAUAAUAAAGAGGUUAGAUGGUUGAGACUUUCACACUAAACUUCAGAGGAUACAUAACCAACAAAACGAACAAUAUGGAACAUUAUACCAAAAAUAUAUACCUGAGACGUUUUAUUCUCCUUAUUUGUAGCUAGGAUAGUUUAAUUGAACACUAGGAAUGUGUUGGACUUUGUAGUAACUUUCCCCACCUGAUUCCAAUUUCCCCUUCCACUCAUUGUUCAUACCUGAAAUUUUCAGUUCCUUUAAAGAGAUUAUAUACUUCAGCCCUUCCGGUAUCUCCUUCAACUUGUCACAAUACUUUAUAUGCAAAGUACGAAGACAUGGCAUCGACCCUUCUUCGAUUUCCCACUCUUCCAACUCUUUUAGAACCACUAAAUCUAGCUUAUGUAAUUGAGGGAAUCCACCUUUUGAACACACCAUUUUCCUCCCUG